AGCGAACGCUGGCGGCAGGCCUAACACAUGCAAGUCGAGCGCCCCGCAAGGGGAGCGGCAGACGGGAGAGUAACACGUGGGAACGUACCCUUUGGUUCGGAACAACCCAGGGAGACUUGGGCUAAUACCGGAUAAGCCCUUACGGGGAAAGAUUCAUCGCCGAAGGAUCGGCCCGCGUCUGAUUAGCUAGUUGGUGAGGUAACGGCCCACCAAGGCGACGAUCAGUAGCUGGUCUGAGAGGAUGAUCAGCCUCACUGGGACUGAGACACGGCCCAGACUCCUACGGGAGGCAGCAGUGGGGAAUAUUGGACAAUGGGCGCAAGCCUGAUCCAGCCAUGCCGCGUGGGUGAUGAAGGCCCUAGGGUUGUAAAGCCCUUUCGGCGGGGAAGAUAAUGACGGUACCCGCAGAAGAAGCCCCGGCUAACUUCGUGCCAGCCGCCGCGGUAA
rnacentral:rRNA from 1 species